rnacentral:rRNA from 1 species
CUGCUCAGUAACACGUAGCUAACCUGCCCUUAAGUCGAGGAUACUCUCGGGAAACUGAGGUUAAUACUCGAUAGGAGAUAUACCCUGGAAUGAUUUAUCUCUAAAAUUCGUGCUUAAGGAUGGGGCUGCGGCGGAUUAGGUUGUUGGCGGGGUAAUAGCCCACCAAGCCGAUGAUCCGUAAGGGCUCUUAGCGGAGAGGCCCUGAGAGGGAAUCUGAGACACUAUUCCCAGCCCUACGGGGUGCAGCAGUUAGGAAUCUUCUGCAAUGCGCGCAAGCGUGACAGAUUGAGCCAGAGUGAUUUUCAUUUGAAAAUCUUUUGCCAAAUGCAAAAAGUUUGGCGAAUAAGGACUGGGUAAGACGGGUGCCAGCCGCCGCGGUAAUACCCGCGGUCCAAGUCGCAGCCAUCAUUAUUGGGUCUAAAACAUCCGUAGCUUGCUUAAUAAGUUUCUUGUGAAAUUCUAUAUCUCAAAUAUAGAGCGGGCAAGAAGUACUGUUAAGCUAGAGACUGGAAGACGUAAGAAGUACGUUUGGAGUAGCGGUAAAAUGUGUUAAUCCCAGACGGACUACCAACAGCGAAGGCAUCUUACGAGGACAGUUCUGACAGUAAGGGAUGAAGGCUAGGGGCGCAAAACGGAUUAGAUACCCGUGUAGUCCUAGCAGUAAACACUGCACACUAA